rnacentral:lncRNA from 1 species
AGACCAAAACUCAAAAACUUAACUUUGACCACUGAACCAUGAAAAUGAGGUCAAGGUCACAUGACAUCUGCCUGCUAGACAUGUACACCUUACCAUCAUUCCAUACAACAAAUAUAGUAGACCUAUUGCAUAUAGUAUGAGAAAAACAGACCAAAACACAAAAAUUUAACUAUAACCACUGAACCAUGAAAAUGAGGUCAAGGUUAGAUGACACCUGCCAGUUAGACAUGUACACC